UGGGUGAAGAUUCCAAGGUUCCAACUGUAAAACACUGUCUCUCCUGAAGUAGGUUUUGGAGAUUGGUGGUUUUUCCAUCUAUCUACCAGGUUUCUGGCCUUUUGGUGAUACCAGCUGAAGAGAGAGGGAUCCUGCUUGGACUGGCUGCUGGCAGCUGAACAAAGACUAAAGACCCAUUUCUCUGCUGGACCUGCUUUGGACAGUUUCUUCUGAAGAUCGUGGCUCUUAUAUUGGACUCCAUUUGUUCUUGCUAUCAAGAAAGAAGACAUUUACCCCAGACCUUUUGGGUUCUGCAGUAGUUCUGUGCUGUUAUAUAAUGAACAAAGACGAAGGUGUUCCAGAAAGGGGAGGGUUACUCCAUCAUCAUCUUCUGUUUUGGAGAAGAGAAGAACUCAACUGAAAUUCUGAAGAACAGGAUUGACAGGAGAAGCCCCUGAAGAGAGCAGUGGAUUUUGAGAGUGAACAAGUGGUCAAGAAAUCUGAGAAUAGGAUUUAGAUAUGUAGGCCAUUCCUUUAAAAAAUGAACAGAAGAAAGGCCUAAAGGAAAUACAAACUUUAAAAGUUACAUGCUGAUUUAUUGUUCAUUUAAAAGAAAAAGUCAGAUGUGUAUAACAGAGAUUUAGUUGAUUUACAA
rnacentral:lncRNA from 1 species